AUUGAACGCUGGCGGCAGGCCUAACACAUGCAAGUCGAGCGAGCGGCGGACGGGUGAGUAAUGUAUGGGGACUGCCCGAUAGAGGGGGAUAACUACUGGAAACGGUAGCUAAUACCGCAUACUAUCGGAUAAUCCAUAUGGGAUUAGCUCGUAGGUGAGGUAAUGGCUCACUAAGGCGACGCUCCCUAGCUGGUCUGAGAGGAUGAUCAGCAACACUGGAACGGAGACACGGACCAGACUCCUACGGAGGCAGCAGUGGGGAAUAUUGCACAAUGGGCGCAAGCCUGAUGCAGCCAUGCCGCGUGUAUGAAGAAGGCCCUAGGGUUGUAAAGUACUUUCAGUCGGGAGGCGUUACCGACAGAAGAAGCACCGGCUAACUCCGUGCCAGCAGCCGCGGUAAUAC
rnacentral:rRNA from 1 species